rnacentral:rRNA from 1 species
UACAGGGGGGGCAAGCGUUGUUCGGAAUUACUGGGCGUAAAGGGCUCGUAGGCGGCCAACUAAGUCAGACGUGAAAUCCCCAGGCUCAACCUGGGAACUGCGUCUGAUACUGAUUGGCUUGAAUCCGGGAGAGGGAUGCAGAAUUCCAGGUGUAGCGGUGAAAUGCGUAGAUAUCUGGAGGAAUACCGGUGGCGAAGGCGGCAUCCUGGACCGGCAUUGACGCUGAGGAGCGAAAGCCAGGGGAGCAAACGGG